AGCUGUAGCCUCUCUCUGUCAGGAUCUUCAUGAGGUAGUCUGUGAGGUCACGGCCGGCCAAGUCCAGCCUCAUGAUGGCGUGUGGGAGAGCGUAUCCCUCGUAGAUAGGCACAGUGUGGGACACACCGUCACCAGAGUCCAGCACGAUACCUGACACAUACAACACAACAACGUUUGGUGAGCCUGUACUUC